AUGGUGCUUGCACCUGAUUUUGGCGCAACGAGUGGCGGACGGGUGAGUAACACGUAGGUAACCUGCCCAGAGCGGGGGACAACAUUUGGAAACAGAUGCUAAUACCGCAUAACAGCGUUGUUCGCAUGAACAACGCUUAAAAGAUGGCUUCCUAUCACUUCUGGAUGGACCUGCGGUGCAUUAGCUUGUUGGUGGGGUAACGGCCUACCAAGGCGAUGAUGCAUAGCCGAGUUGAGAGACUGAUCGGCCACAAUGGGACUGAGACACGGCCCAUACUCCUACGGGAGGCAGCAGUAGGGAAUCUUCCACAAUGGGCGCAAGCCUGAUGGAGCAACACCGCGUGAGUGAAGAAGGGUUUCGGCUCGUAAAGCUCUGUUGUUAAAGAAGAACACGUAUGAGAGUAACUGUUCAUACGUUGACGGUAUUUAACCAGAAAGUCACGGCUAACUACGUGCCAGCAGCCGCGGUAAUACGUAGGUGGCAAGCGUUAUCCGGAUUUAUUGGGCGUAAAGAGAGUGCAGGCGGUUUUCUAAGUCUGAUGUGAAAGCCUUCGGCUUAACCGGAGAAGUGCAUCGGAAACUGGAUAACUUGAGUGCAGAAGAGGGUAGUGGAACUCCAUGUGUAGCGGUGGAAUGCGUAGAUAUAUGGAAGAACACCAGUGGCGAAGGCGGCUACCUGGUCUGCAACUGACGCUGAGACUCGAAAGCAUGGGUAGCGAACAGGAUUAGAUACCCUGGUAGUCCAUGCCGUAAACGAUGAGUGCUAGGUGUUGGAGGGUUUCCGCCCUUCAGUGCCGGAGCUAACGCAUUAAGCACUCCGCCUGGGGAGUACGACCGCAAGGUUGAAACUCAAAGGAAUUGACGGGGGCCCGCACAAGCGGUGGAGCAUGUGGUUUAAUUCGAAGCUACGCGAAGAACCUUACCAGGUCUUGACAUCUUGCGCCAACCCUAGAGAUAGGGCGUUUCCUUCGGGAACGCAAUGACAGGUGGUGCAUGGUCGUCGUCAGCUCGUGUCGUGAGAUGUUGGGUUAAGUCCCGCAACGAGCGCAACCCUUGUUACUAGUUGCCAGCAUUAAGUUGGGCACUCUAGUGAGACUGCCGGUGACAAACCGGAGGAAGGUGGGGACGACGUCAGAUCAUCAUGCCCCUUAUGACCUGGGCUACACACGUGCUACAAUGGACGGUACAACGAGUCGCGAACUCGCGAGGGCAAGCAAAUCUCUUAAAACCGUUCUCAGUUCGGACUGCAGGCUGCAACUCGCCUGCACGAAGUCGGAAUCGCUAGUAAUCGCGGAUCAGCAUGCCGCGGUGAAUACGUUCCCGGGCCUUGUACACACCGCCCGUCACACCAUGAGAGUUUGUAACACCCAAAGUCGGUGGGGUAACCUUAAGCCAGCCGCCUAAGG
rnacentral:rRNA from 2 species